GCUCUUCCAGAUCUGUAAUAUUGCUUCUUACAGGCCUUUAGUAAUAUAGCAGUCAUAACGCUAACUAUAAUGUCUCUCUGACAUUGCUGUAUUACUGCUGAUUACAUGCCUAUGAUAAUAUACCGUA